rnacentral:rRNA from 1 species
UACGGGGGGAGCAAGCGUUGUUCGGAUUUACUGGGCGUAAAGGGCGCGUAGGCGGCGCAACAAGUCACUUGUGAAAUCUCCGGGCUUAACUCGGAAAGGUCAAGUGAUACUGUUAUGCUAGAGUGCGGAAGGGGAAACUGGAAUUCUCGGUGUAGCGGUGAAAUGCGUAGAUAUCGAGAGGAACACCGGCGGCGAAGGCGGGUUGCUGGGCCGACACUGACGCUGAGGAGCGAAAGCCUGGGGAGCGAACAGG